AUGGGUUUGCCAGGGGCCACGACCGAAGUGGCGACCCUGAGGAAGGCGUUGUCCGAGGCCGAAGACAAAGCGGCCAAGGAGCGCUUUGAACGGGAAAAGCAAGAAGCCCGAGUAGGCGAGGUGCAACAAGAGCUCGAGGCUCUCGCCAAAAAGUACGAGUCCUUGGAGCUUGACUCUAAGACGCGAGAGUCCGAGCUCGCGCAGGCGCUUGAAAGCGUCCGGAGCGCCAAGGUCGAAGCCCAUAAGGCCCUCCAGGAGAUUGACACGGUGAAGAAGAUAGCAGCGGAUCUUCCCUGCAGUGUACUGGAUGCCGUGGAGUUUUAUCGGGCUGAGGAGGGGAGCUCGACGGAGAAGUUGUUCUGGUCUCAGUAUACUGGGACCGAACACCCCGUGCCCUUGAGCGACCAGCUGAAGCAGUUGGUCGAGCUUCACAAGGCGGCCGAACAGGCCAUGAAAGGCCUUAUAAUCCGGAUGUGGCCUAGCGAGCCCCUGUCCGGUAGCUACUUUGGUCUGGUGAGGCGGCUUGUGGAAGCCUGCCCACGGCUUGAAGUCAUCAAGCAGUCCAUCUGCAUCGAGGGUGCGCGCAGGGCUUUUACCCGAGCGAAGGUACACUGGGCGAAGCUGGACGCCAUGAAGCUGGUGAAGGAGGGGCCGCCGGAGGGCAAGGAGCAUCGCUACCCCGAGAAUUAUUAUGAGAGUGUCCUGAAGGGUUCUCGCCUAGUGGCAGAUGAGUGUGCCAAGGAUGUAAUUUUUGAAUGA
rnacentral:rRNA from 1 species